rnacentral:rRNA from 1 species
CUGCAGCCCGAGUGGUGAUCGAUUUUAUUGAGCCUAAAGCGUCCGUAGCCGGACUAGUAAACCCUUGGGUAAAUUGGGCAGCUUAACUGUCCGAAUUCCGAGGGGACUGCUAGUCUUGGGACCAGGAGAGGUCAGAGGUACUCCAGGGGUAGGGGCUAAAUCCGAUAUGGUUUUGAGCCAGUCGGUUAGCAUUCCUGUAAUCCUUGGGGGACCACCAGUGGCGAAGGCGUCUGACUAGAACGGAUCCGACGGUAAGGGACGAAACCCUGGGGCGCGAUCCGGAUUAGAUACCCGAGUAGUCC